UACGUAGGGGGCAAGCGUUGUCCGGAAUCAUUGGGCGUAAAGAGCGUGUAGGCGGCCCGGUAAGUCCGCUGUGAAAGUCCAGGGCUCAACCCUGGGAUGCCGGUGGAUACUGUCGGGCUCGAGUCCGGAAGAGGAGUGUGGAAUUCCUGGUGUAGCGGUGAAAUGCGUAGAUAUCGGGAGGAACACCAGUGGCGAAGGCGACUACCUGGCCUGUUCUUGACGCUGAGGCGCGAAAGCUAGGGGAGCAAACGGG
rnacentral:rRNA from 1 species